GCAGCCAUAGCUCAGUCUGGUAGAGCAACCGGAAAUCCGGUCGGUCGUUGGUUCGACUCCAACUGGCUGCCCCA
rnacentral:tRNA from 1 species